AUCCAUCUGACGAGUCAUAAAUAGGAUGAAAUGCGCAUCCGGGAU
rfam:Schistosoma mansoni strain Puerto Rico chromosome 6, complete genome